CGGGUAAGNGUAAUGCGUGACCAACCUGCCCCAUGCUCCAGAAUAGCUCUUGGAAACGGGUGGUAAUGCUGGAUGCUCCAACUUGACGCAUGUCUUGUUGGGAAAGUGUUUAGUGGCAUGGGAUGGGGUCGCGUCCUAUCAGCUUGUAGGCGGGGUAAUGGCCCACCUAGGCUUCGACGGGUAGCCGGCCUGAGAGGGCGGACGGCCACAUUGGGACUGAGAUACGGCCCAGACUCCUACGGGAGGCAGCAGCG
rnacentral:rRNA from 1 species